rnacentral:rRNA from 1 species
UACGAAGGGGGGCUAGCGUUGCUCGGAAUCACUGGGCGUAAAGCGCACGUAGGCGGAUUGCUAAGUCAGGGGUGAAAUCCUGGAGCUCAACUCCAGAACUGCCCUUGAUACUGGCGGUCUCGAGUCCGGGAGAGGUGAGUGGAACUGCGAGUGUAGAGGUGAAAUUCGUAGAUAUUCGCAAGAACACCAGUGGCGAAGGCGGCUCGACUGGCCCGGUACUGACGCUGAGGUGCGAAAGCGUGGGAGCAACAGG